rnacentral:rRNA from 1 species
GGGGGAUAACUACUGGAAACGGUAGCUAAUACCGCAUAACGUCGCAAGACCAAAGAGGGGGACCUUCGGGCCUCUUGCCAUCGGAUGUGCCCAGAUGGGAUUAGCUUGUAGGUGAGGUAACGGCUCACCUAGGCGACGAUCCCUAGCUGGUCUGAGAGGAUGACCAGCCACACUGGAACUGAGACACGGUCCAGACUCCUACGGGAGGCAGCAGUGGGGAAUAUUGCACAAUGGGCGCAAGCCUGAUGCAGCCAUGCCGCGUGUAUGAAGAAGGCCUUCGGGUUGUAAAGUACUUUCAGCGGGGAGGAAGGGAGUGGGGUUAAUAACCUCAUUCAUUGACGUUACCCGCAGAAGAAGCACCGGCUAACUCCGUGCCAGCAGCCGCGGUAAUACGGAGGGUGCGAGCGUUAAUCGGAAUUACUGGGCGUAAAGCGCACGCAGGCGGUCUGUCAAGUCGGAUGUGAAAUCCCCGGGCUCAACCUGGGAACUGCAUUCGAAACUGGCAGGCUGGAGUCUUGUAGAGGGGGGUAGAAUUCCAGGUGUAGCGGUGAAAUGCGUAGAGAUCUGGAGGAAUACCGGUGGCGAAGGCGGCCCCCUGGACAAAGACUGACGCUCAGGUGCGAAAGCGUGGGGAGCAAACAGGAUUAGAUACCCUGGUAGUCCACGCUGUAAACGAUGUCGACUUGGAGGUUGUUCCCUUGAGGAGUGGCUUCCGGAGCUAACG